rnacentral:rRNA from 1 species
UUCCGGUUGAUCCUGCCGGAGGCCACUGCUAUUGGGAUCCGACUAAGCCAUGCGAGUCGAGAGGGUUCGGCCCUCGGCAGACUGCUCAGUAACACGUGGAUAACCUAACCUUAGGUGGAAGAUAACCUCGGGAAACUGAGAAUAAUAUUCCAUAGAUCUAGGAUGCUGGAAUGCAUCUAGAUUAAAAGUUCCGACGCCUAAGGAUGGGUCUGCGGACUAUCAGGUUGUAGUCAGGGUAAAGACCUGACUAGCCUACGACGGAUAUGGGUUGUGAGAGCAAUAGCCCAGAGACGAUAUCUGAGACACGAUAUCGGGCCCUACGGGGCGCAGCAGGCGCGAAAUCUUCACAAUGUGCGAAAGCACGAUGAGGGGAUCCCAAGUGCUGGCACGUAAGUGUCAGCUGUUUCUUAGUCUAAAAAACUGAAAGAGUAAGGGCUGGGUAAGACGGGUGCCAGCCGCCGCGGUAAUACCUGCAGCUCAAGUGGUGGCCGCUAUUAUUGGGCCUAAAACGUCCGUAGCCUGUUUAGUAAAUGCUUGGGUAAAUUGUGUAGCUUAACUAUACGAAUACCGAGUAGACUGCUAAACUUGGGACCGGGAGAGGCUAGAGGUACUCCUGGGGUAGAGGUGAAAUUCUGUAAUCCUAGGGGGACCACCAGUGGCGAAGGCGUCUAGCCAGAACGGGUCUGACGGUGAGGGACGAAGCCCUGGGGCGCAAACCGGAUUAGAUACCCGGGUAGUCCAGGGUGUAAACGCUGCUUGCUUGAUGUUAGUUGGGCUCCGAGCCCAACUAGUGUCGGAGAGAAGUUGUUAAGCAAGCUGCCUGGGAAGUACGGUCCCAAGACUGAAACUUAAAGGAAUUGGCGGGGGAGCACAGCAACGGGUGGAGCGUGCGGUUUAAUUGGAUUCAACGCCGGG